rnacentral:rRNA from 1 species
UACGUAGGGAGCAAGCGUUGUCCGGAAUCAUUGGGCGUAAAGCGCGCGUAGGCGGCCCUGUAAGUCCGCUGUGAAAGUCAAAGGCUCAACCUUUGAAAGCCGGUGGAUACUGCAGGGCUAGAGUCCGGAAGAGGCGAGUGGAAUUCCUGGUGUAGCGGUGGAAUGCGCAGAUAUCAGGAGGAACACCAACGGCGAAAGCACUCUGCUGGGCCGACACUGACACUGAGAGACGAAAGCUAGGGGAGCGAAUGGG